UUUAUGGGGCACGAUUUAGU
rnacentral:siRNA from 1 species